CGGCCGCGGUAUCCUAACCGUGCGAAGGUAGCGUAAUCACUUGUUCUUUAAAUGAGGACUAGUAUGAACGGCUUCACGAAGGCUAUACUGUCUCCCUUAUCUAAUCAGUUAAACUAAUCUCCCCGUGAAGAAGCGGGGAUUCACAUAUAAGACGAGAAGACCCUAUGGAGCUUAAAACACCUCUAAACAUUUGACCUCCACACUACUAUUUUCAGAAAUCUUCACAAAGCCCGUCAUUUUGUUUUAAGUUUUAGGUUGGGGUGACCGCGGAGAAUAACCUAACCUCCACGUAGAAAGAACUUUCUUUUCUAAGCAAAAAGCUACAUCUUUAUGCAUCAACAUAUUGACCUAAUUGACCCAAUU
rnacentral:rRNA from 1 species